rnacentral:rRNA from 1 species
UACAGAGGGGGCAAGCGUUGUUCGGAAUUACUGGGCGUAAAGGGCGCGUAGGCGGCCUUCUAAGUCAGACGUGAAAUCCCUCGGCUCAACCGGGGAACUGCGUCUGAGACUGGAAGGCUUGAAUCCGGGAGAGGGAUGUGGAAUUCCAGGUGUAGCGGUGAAAUGCGUAGAUAUCUGGAGGAACACCGGUGGCGAAGGCGGCAUCCUGGACCGACACUGACGCUGAUGAGCGAAAGCCAGGGGAGCAAACGGG